rnacentral:lncRNA from 1 species
GAGGGCCGAGGCGGCGUCCAUAAAUCGCGGGGUUGGAUUUCGAGUGUCGUAGCAAGAAACCGAAGACCUUUAAUUACCGGAUCGCGGAUCGGAGGUCGUUUGGUGGUCGCGCGUGGAUUGGGUCAAGCCGAGCGGCGUGCGCCGCGGGAGGCCGAUUGCGAGUGACGACGAGCAAUCGGAACGCGAUAAAAGGUGGGGGGUGUCCAUCCCGAAGCAACUGAUGUAAUAUAUCGAACUUCGAAUUCAUGAAGUUACGAUGUAUGUUAGCCUAGAGAGCCAUUGGAAUCAUUCCGGCGAAGUUCGGGAGCAUUCGGGUGCUUCGGUGCGCAUAGGGCGCGAAAACGGGACCCGAAAGGCUAUGUUGGACCGUGGACUAAAUCCGGCAUUAGCGUGGAUGAAAAGAUGAUGAAAACAUGCUUGAAAACAUGUUUGGAGAGUCUCGGUUCGAUUUGAAAUGAAUCGGAUGUCAAACGAGCGAAAACGAGUGAAAACGGAGCGAAAACGGUGAAAAAGCUGAAAAUUUGGCUAAGUCCUUGAAGGCUGAUUUCUGGACCUUCGGGGACCGGUCUCUCAGCCAAGGACCGGUCUCUCAGGGACCGGUCCCUCAUCGCAAGGACCGGUCCCCGAAGCCCGAAAAUGCCCAGUUCGGGCUGUUGCAAGAGAUGCAUUGUUGAGGGGCUUAUUGGCAUUUUGUGCAUGGGUUAAGUGUAUAGAGAGGAGUAGAACCUCUCUUUCUCUCUUUCCCUCACCGUAUCAUCCCCAAACCUCUCCUCUCUCUCUCUAGAAAGGAAAAGAGGAAGGAGAAGAGAAGAAAAGAGAAGAAGAGAAGAAGAAAAGGAAGGAGAAGAAGACAAGGAGGAGAAUGUCACCCUCAUCUUCUCCCUCCUUGCAAUGGAGCAAGCUUCUUGAGGUAAGCUUCUUGAAGCUCUAAUGGUAGAUCUUCAUGGCUAUGGUUAUAUGCUCUAAGAAUGGAUUUAGUGGAACCCAUUGAUGCUAAAUAGAUGGUUUAUGCUUGAUUCAUGAGAUGAAUUGGAGUAUUUUGCUAUAUUUGCAUCUAGGGCUCCAAAAAGAGGGUUUUUAUAAAUAGUUGGGUUUGAUCUCAAUUGACCCUCUGUAAACCUAAUUGGGGACCAAACGAACGCGAUGGAACACUCGGUUCGACGAUUCGACGAGUGUACGCAAAGUUAUUGACGAAACAAUCUGUUUUGGUACAGAUAGCCGCAGCACGCAGGAUAAGCCUCCAAAAAUCAUGAAAAUGGAUCGGGAGUAUCGUGGUGUCGGGGAAUAAACUCCCGAACAGACGGAUUGCGGAUUGGUGGCCGUUCGGGUGGUCGCGCAAGAGUUCGGGCCAAACCGGGUCACGGGUGCCGCGGGAGGCCGAUUGCAAGUGACUACAAGCAAUCGGAACGCGUUAAAAGGUGGGUUGUGCUCACCGAAGCGAUUAGGUCGCUUUCCGUGCCAAAGUGUAGUAUGUUUACUAUUGAUGCAUGAUAAAGUAUGCUAUUUGAGAAUGCAUGAUAAAGUGUGCUAUUUAAGAAUGCAUGAUAAAGAUAGAUGCCAAAUGAAUGCAUGAGUUGAUGUUAAUUUACAUGUGCAUAUUAUAGAAAUGCUAAACAGAUGUCAAAUGAAAGUAUGAGAUUUAUACUAAUCGAGAAUGCAUGUAGUAAAUGUUAACGAAUGCAUAAAAUGCUAAGUAAUGACUACCAAUGGAUGACAAAAUAUAUGCAUGUUGAACAUAGAUUGAGUGGCAUUCGAAAUGGUAAAGUGGACACUAGAGUUAGUGUGGGACAACAAAGAAUAAAUGUGAUGUAAAGAAUAAUGAUAAUGGCUAAAGAUAAUGAAAAACAAUGUGAUGAUAAUAAUAUAAUGUUGCAUGAUGUGAGUACACGUGCUUAUUAGAAUGAUUAAGAAUCUAAAUAAUCUAUGUGUAUGCAUGAGAUGUAAUGUGAGAACCUAAUGAUAAUGGCUUGAGACAAGGCAAAGCAAUGUGAUGUAAAGAAUAAUGAUAAUGGCUAGAGGCGAUGUAAAGUAAUGUGGCAUAAAGAACAAGCAAAGUGUAAAGAACAAUGAUAAUGGCUAGAGUUAGCAACCAAUGUGACAUGAAGCACCCUAGAGUUAGUGUGUGGCAACAAAAGAACAAGUGUGGUAUCAAGAAUGACAAUUACUAGAGUAAUUGACAAGUGGGGUGUAAAGAACAAUGAUUGCUAGAGUUAGCAACUAAUGUGAUGUAAAGAACACUAAAGUUAGUGUAAAGCCAUGAUUCAACUACAUAUCCUUAGAGUUAAGGAUUGAUCAUACUUGCUAUGAGUUCCGUGCUUGAGGGCGGUAGCUCCCCCUCAAGCGAUGCGCUCCGGAGUUAUGCAUCACGGGUUGGAGUAAACCCGAAGGACGGUCCUAGCUGGUGAGUUCCUGCGAUGAUGGACUUAAUGUGAAGCAAGUUAAUGUGGCGAAACCCCCGGGUUAGCCGUGAGAUUAAAGAACAAAGAACAAAAAGGAAUCAUGAAUUGGAAAGUGGAUCUUGUAUUCAUUAUGAAUGGACUCAAGACCGAGUCGAGUGGCAUAGUUGGCUAAGGUAAAGGUAACAAUUGUGAAAGAAUGACAAUUGAGAAAGAAUGACAAUUGAGAAACGUUUGUUAAUGUUAUAAAGAAUGGCAAAAGUGUAUAAUGCGCCUAAGGUGCGAGUGCCCUUAGCAAAGAAUAAAGAAUAAAGAAUAGAGAAUAGAGAAUAAAGAAUAAAGAGUAAAGAAUGGCUAAUGAUAAAGAAUAGCAAAUUCUAAAGAAAGGCUAAUGGUAAAGAAUGACUAAGAGUUGCAUAAUUUGCAUAUUUGUGAGGCAUGAACAUGUAUUGCAUGAUGUUAUAUGUAUAUAUAUCUGUUGGACUAACAUGUUGCAGUGCCUCCUUUGGACCUGGUGGGUUGAGCUCUUCCCUUGGGUGGCUGUACCCACCGAGGACUAUGGACAAUAGUCUCACCCCCGUGUUGUUGUUUUUGGGGGUACAGGUUCACACGCGAGCGGCGCGGCGGCGCGAGGAAAGGGCGUAGCUCUGUAGUUAGCGCCCUACCACAGAGACCAGAUAGCAGCACCCUGAGUCUGGUUCUUAGGGGUAUAAGAAAAGAAAAGAAAAGAAAAGAGUCGAUGUUGUAAUAUUAUGUUUAUAAUCGAUUGUAUAUUUGGAAGUUGAGGAUCAAUGUAAUGAAAAAUGCGAUAUAAAAUGAUGAGAUGAAUGAUUGUAAUAACAUAGGAUGUGUUAUGUUGUUUGAUACCUUCCUUAUGCAAUCGUUGUUGAAAAUUGUUCCUGUUUGGAACCUCUUGUACUUGUAUUAAUUGCGACGCCUUGAAUGUACAGGGGAGACUCUGUCCGCGUGCAUGGGAAACCCUGUCCGUUCGGCGGUCUGUUGGCGUGCCCGAAUCCGACCAAAGGGGCGGGCUCGGGGCGUGACAACUGAGCUUCUUCCUAUGUCUUAGUGCUUAUUCGAUUGGCAUAUAGCAUAUCGUAUAUUGUUAUGCAUUAUAGGGUGAUGAUACAUGCAUUCCUACUCCUUGUAUGAUGUCUAUGAUUAAUAUAGUAUUAUGAUAUGGAUAUUUGAUGUAAUGGACAUAAGGAUUAGGAGAUGACAUUGGUAAACCUAUGAUGCUAAAUGAAAGAGGAACCUAGUGUUGUAUCUAAAGACAUAGUUUACUAGUGGCAUUGGACUUAGUGUGAUAGAAAUACAUAUAACUUGUACCUAGUAUGCAUGAGAUUGGGACAUAGUGUUGUGAAACCCUAUAAUGGCAUGAUUAAUGUGGAUUAAACUCUAGUUGAGUGACGACCUAGUGAAUAUGUGCAAAUAGUGCAUCGAGAAC